AAUUCUUGAACCUGGUAUCUUUGAUCAGCUUCAAGAAGUAAGCGUUCAUCUCUAGUUGUAAUUAUCACCCUGCUUCCGGGACCAAACCAGCUUCGCUCUCCCAUCAAAGCAUUUAAUUGGUCCAGAUGAUCCACAUCAUCAACAACAAUAAGAACUCUUUUGCGGCAGAGUCGUUCUUUAAUCAGAACCUUUCCUCUAUCAACAUUAUUGAUCUUCUCAGUAUUUUGUCUUAAAAUAUCAUGAAGUAGUUGUUGUUGUAGAAGAACCAAAUCAUUAGGUUCUGAUUUUUCUUUGACAUUCAAAAGAAAAGAGAUUCCCUCGAAUCCAUAUCCACAGUCAUAGCAGAGUUGAUUAAAUACAACUUUUGCUAUAGUCGUCUUUCCUAUUCCUGGCAUCCCAUGUAAGCCCACAAUGCGUACAUCAUCUGUUGCAGUACUUAGGAAGUGAAAAAUAUUGUGAGCAAGCGGAUCAAUACCUACUAGGUGCUUAGGCACAUGUAAGUACUUGGGGUCCAAUUUAGUCAGCACAUCCUUGAUAAUCUCUUGGAUAAAUUUUGCUUCACGCCUGUUCAUGGACAAAAGCAAGUCAUUAAUAGCGAGACAAUUAAGCAUGUUCAAAAAGUAUUUUAUUGUUUCACAUUGUAAAAUAGGUAAUGUAUAAUGACUCCAUAUAUAAAUGUGUGGAAGUGAAUCUUAUAGAGAAAAGGCAUACCCAUUUGCCAUAUCUUUGAGAUUCCAACCAGAUAGAUUUCCUGCCUCUUCAAGAGCUUCUCUCCACUCCUUCACCUUCUCUUCAGAACGUUCUUCAUGCUUAACAAAUGCUUCUGCAAAACUGCCGGUCUGUUUUCUCACAUCUGAAGGAUCGAUGUCAUAGAAUAUAGGAAGAGCAAUCUGACCAGUUUUCCUCUUUCUGCACUUGAGAAUCUCCACAAGUUCAUUGAGACACCAUCUAGAAGAAGCAUAUCCUUUUGAGAAGACCACUAUAGAUAUCUUUGAUUCUCGAAUUGCCUUGAGGAGAUGAUCGGAGAUUUCUUCUCCUCUAGGAAGUUCAUCAUCAUCUCGAAAAGUGUGGAUUCCUGCUUGGACUAAGGCAGUAUAUAGAUGAUCUGUAAAUGUCUUGCGAGUAUCUUCUCCACUAAAACUCAAAAAGACAUCAUAGGCCCCUUGUGGUCUAGAUCGAGAAGAAUCUGGCUCUGUCAUGGCAGCUGCAGAAAUUAAGGCACGAUUAAUUAAUUAGCAAUGAAUAGAUUGCAGGAGGUAUCUGCUAUCUUGCAAUUAUAAAUAGUAAGGGAUACAUGUGAAGUGAUCAUCAAAGACAAUACAAAUAGAUGAAUGUGCUGAGUAGGAAUUUCAACGCAAUUACUAUUAGAGAGUAAGGUAAGAAAAUCAUUCAUUCAUUGAGUUUCACCUAAUACUUCAAGUUUAACAACCAGAGAGCAUAAAACAAUAGCAUUUAAAAAGCUUACUGAGGUCAGCUUUCCUUCUCUUUCGCGAGGAUGAAUCAUUUUCUUCAUCUUUGGAUUGUUUGCGUUUUUCUGUCGGCAUUCUAAAAUAGAAUGAUCUUGUUCUAGAAGACAUGCAAGGAAUUAACUCAAUAAACUCAUCAAAGAUGUCUAUCUGAACAUAAAGCUUUCAAAUUAUUGUUAUGAGUAAAGACAUGAAAUUAAAACAAGAAAGAAGCAAAGAAGAGGUAUAAGCUAUACCUCUAUAUAACAAAGGGUUGGUUGGAUUCCACAAGCUAUGAAAUUGCAGCAAUCGGGAACGGUAAUUUAUUUCAACUACCCAAACAUAUUUUUCAAUUUGUUUUUAAUUUACAUGUAGUUUCAAAGAAGCAAAGAAGGGUUAUAUACUAGCAAAAACAUGACAGCAUAAAAUCCCAUGUAGCAAUUAUCUUGUUUCGCAAUCUUCUUAGUGUUAAUAUUGCUGUAAAACUACAUGCAUUCAUGCAAUCAGAAGCAACAAUCGCAAAGGUUACCUCAAUAUGGUGUUUGAGUUGUUCGGAUUCCACCAACCUGGCGACUUUAAAGAUCAAAUUGCAGCGCUCAGAAAGAUUAGCUGAAGAGUAAAGUAAUGAGGACUGAAGGAUAGUAGAGGCAAUAUUGUUUCGGAGAAAGAAUAUAAAUCCUUUUUGCAAAUUAUUAGCAAUAAUUAUCAAAGAUGAAGGGUAUCAUAUAUAGGAAUAGGAGCUUGGAAAUUUCUUUAGCAGCGUGUGAUCAAGGUAAUUUCUUGGUUGUUGCUGAUUGAUUAGGGUUGUUGCAAUGAUUUUUUAAAAAUAAAAAAAUAUUAUUUUAAUAUAUUUUUUUAAUAAAAAUCAUUUAAAAUACAAUUCUCUUUCCAAGUUUGAGCCAGAGAUGUACAGUGCAUCCGCUGAGGAUGAAUAAUGAGUGGUAGAAGCCUAUUUUGUGAGUUAUUAAAGACUUCUUCCUGUCAGUCAAUGCGGGUAUGAACACUAACUCUUUUUUUUUUUUUCACACACUAAUGUUUUGUUUGGAAUUUAUGGGUUUUUUGUUCUUGUAAAAUAACAGUGUUUCUAACAGUGUGCUUGAUUCAAGUUCUUGAUUGGUGUUCGUGUUCUUAAAAAAUUUUAAUUUUUUUUUGUUAAAAAUAAAGUAUUUAUAUUUUUAAAUUAUUUUGAUUUAUUAAUAUUAAAAUUAAUUUUUAAAAAAUAAAAAAAAUAUUAUUUUAAUAUAUUUCUAAACUAAAAAUAUUUUAAAUCAUAAACACUAAUAUAAUUCCAAACAGAUAUUAAACGCAACCGCUGGUCAUGAUGGACAGUUUAGUUGGGAACAGACGAAGGGCUAUAGACUUCGAGACGAUGGCUGUAUUAUCAUUGAACCUUCGCUCAAGAAGCUCAACCACUUUGCUUCCCAUAUCUACUAAUCAUGAACCUCCUUGACUCUUCAGUAUAAAUCUUUUUCCACUCAGAAGGCCCUCGCCCUCACACUCCCGUCUCCAUGUAUUUGGCUGCUUCCAUCUCUCAGCCCUGCUUUUUGGUUCGUACGUAGGUGUAAUCUGAUAUUUAUUAUUACUUUUAUUCAUAUAAAAUAUAUUUUUUAUCUUUAACAUUAUUUAAAACUUGUUAUUAAUUUUAUUAGUAUAAAAUAUAUUUAUUAUUGAAAAAAAUUAAGAUUAUUCGCUCUACCGUGUUUUUAAAAAACCCAACAAUAACAUCAUAAUCAAUUAAACUUGAGCAACCUUCAAGCAGUAAUUUCUCUAGACUUGAACUGUGCAAGUUUGGUGUUUUAACGAGAUUCUUUGAAUAACUGAGAUCAAUGAUCUUUAGAUUGUUGAGAAUCUGUCAAAGCAGUGAGGAAAAUCAUUAAGUAGUCAUCAAAAGUUGUAACUUGUAAAUAUAAAUUACAUAAUAGACAAGUUUUUGGGCAUUUUGGUGUGUUUCGCACCUUUUUUUCCUUCUAUAGUUCUUUAAUGUUACUGUACUUCAUAUCAAUAAAAACUACGUAGUCCAGUGUAAAAUCGGAUGGCAAAAAUCCCAAAGGACAUUCAAGCCAACAAAUCAACGUCAACACUUUAGAAAGCUGUUCGAAAGAUCCGGUGAGGUCUUCUCCAUUGAUUUGCAGUAAUUUUAAGUUUUUCAUUUUUGUAAAUGAUCCUGUGCUUAGUGAUUUGUCUUCUGAUCUUCUCACAUCUAGUGUAAGGCCUUUUACAACUUAUGUUCCCUAAAAAAGCAAAAAAUAAAAUAAAAAUCAAUAGAACUUUCAUAUAAUUGUUUGUAAUAAGUUUGACAAUAAAGAUGCACAAGAAUGUGCUUUUCUGUAUGCGUUGAGUUCUUACCAUCUACAUCUUGAGUACUUUCCACGCAUCCUCUUGACUCCAAAUUCUGCUCCUUUGUGCAGGAUUUUCAAGUGACUCUUCCUUAACGAUCUCCCUUCCCAUCUCUCGUAAUAGAUCAUGCAUGCUUAUUGUUCCAGAAUAAUCAACUUUAAUCAGAGACCUUUCAAUGAGAAUUCCAGAAUGAUUAACUUUAAUCAGGGACCUUUCAAUGAGAGUUCCCAAAUCAUCUUCUGGAUUGUAACCAUAACGUCCUUCUAGCACUUUUGCUAUGUAUUCUUUCUUUCUACCAAUCAAGAAGCAUGCAAUAUCAAGAAAUGUAUUCUUUAGUGUAGGUUCAUCCAGUGUGUCUAAACUUAUUCUAAGUUUUUUCUGAAUUUCACAGUUUGGAAAUUUUCUCAAUCUGGCAAUUACAGAUUCCCAUCUAGCUUGGUUUUUCCCAAACAAAGAAGAACCUAAAACCUCAAGAGCUAAAGGAAGUCCUCCACAGUAUUCAAUAACAUCAUUCGAAAUCUUAACAUAAUCUUUUGCUGGCUUGGCGUCCCUAAACGCAUGCUGACAGAAUAGCUGAAGGGACUCAUAUGGGUCCAAUUCUUGAACCUGGUAUCUUUGAUUAGCUUCAAGAAGUAAGUGUUCAUCUCUAGUUGUAAUUAUCACCCUGCUUCCAGGACCAAACCAGCUUCGCUCUCCCAUCAAAGCAUUUAAUUAGUCUAGAUGAUCCACAUCAUCAACAACAAGAAGAACUCUUUUGCGGCAGAGUCGUUCUUUAAUCAGAACCUUUCCUCUAUCAACAUUACUGAUCUUCUCAGUAUUUUGUCUUAAAAUAUCAUGAAGAAGUUGUUGUUGUAGAAGAACCAUAUCCUUAGAUUCUGAUUCUUUGACAUUCAAAAGAAAUGAGCUUCCCUCGAAUCCAUAUCCACAGUCAUAGCAGAGUUGAUUAAAUACAACUUUUGCUAAAGUCGUCUUUCCUAUUCCUGGCAUCCCAUGUAUGCCCACAAUGCGUAC
rnacentral:lncRNA from 1 species